rnacentral:rRNA from 1 species
UUUUAUGGAGAGUUUGAUCCUGGCUCAGGAUGAACGCUGGCGGCGUGCCUAAUACAUGCAAGUCGAGCGAACGGACGAGAAGCUUGCUUUUCUGAUGUUAGCGGCGGACGGGUGAGUAACACGUGGAUAACCUACCUAUAAGACUGGGAUAACUUCGGGAAACCGGAGCUAAUACCGGAUAAUAUUUUGAACCGCAUGGUUCAAAAGUGAAAGACGGUCUUGCUGUCACUUAUAGAUGGAUCCGCGCUGCAUUAGCUAGUUGGUAAGGUAACGGCUUACCAAGGCAACGAUGCAUAGCCGACCUGAGAGGGUGAUCGGCCACACUGGAACUGAGACACGGUCCAGACUCCUACGGGAGGCAGCAGUAGGGAAUCUUCCGCAAUGGGCGAAAGCCUGACGGAGCAACGCCGCGUGAGUGAUGAAGGUCUUCGGAUCGUAAAACUCUGUUAUUAGGGAAGAACAUAUGUGUAAGUAACUGUGCACAUCUUGACGGUACCUAAUCAGAAAGCCACGGCUAACUACGUGCCAGCAGCCGCGGUAAUACGUAGGUGGCAAGCGUUAUCCGGAAUUAUUGGGCGUAAAGCGCGCGUAGGCGGUUUUUUAAGUCUGAUGUGAAAGCCCACGGCUCAACCGUGGAGGGUCAUUGGAAACUGGAAAACUUGAGKGCAGAAGAGGAAAGUGGAAUUCCAUGUGUAGCGGUGAAAUGCGCAGAGAUAUGGAGGAACACCAGUGGCGAAGGCGACUUUCUGGUCUGUAACUGACGCUGAUGUGCGAAAGCGUGGGGAUCAAACAGGAUUAGAUACCCUGGUAGUCCACGCCGUAAACGAUGAGUGCUAAGUGUUAGGGGGUUUCCGCCCCUUAGUGCUGCAGCUAACGCAUUAAGCACUCCGCCUGGGGAGUACGACCGCAAGGUUGAAACUCAAAGGAAUUGACGGGGACCCGCACAAGCGGUGGAGCAUGUGGUUUAAUUCGAAGCAACGCGAAGAACCUUACCAAAUCUUGACAUCCUUUGACAACUCUAGAGAUAGAGCCUUCCCCUUCGGGGGACAAAGUGACAGGUGGUGCAUGGUUGUCGUCAGCUCGUGUCGUGAGAUGUUGGGUUAAGUCCCGCAACGAGCGCAACCCUUAAGCUUAGUUGCCAUCAUUAAGUUGGGCACUCUAAGUUGACUGCCGGUGACAAACCGGAGGAAGGUGGGGAUGACGUCAAAUCAUCAUGCCCCUUAUGAUUUGGGCUACACACGUGCUACAAUGGACAAUACAAAGGGCAGCGAAACCGCGAGGUCAAGCAAAUCCCAUAAAGUUGUUCUCAGUUCGGAUUGUAGUCUGCAACUCGACUACAUGAAGCUGGAAUCGCUAGUAAUCGUAGAUCAGCAUGCUACGGUGAAUACGUUCCCGGGUCUUGUACACACCGCCCGUCACACCACGAGAGUUUGUAACACCCGAAGCCGGUGGAGUAACCUUUUAGGAGCUAGCCGUCGAAGGUGGGACAAAUGAUUGGGGUGAAGUCGUAACAAGGUAGCCGUAUCGGAAGGUGCGGCUGGAUCACCUCCUUUCUAA